AGUCGACGCUUCUUUUUCACCGGAGCUUGCUCCACCGGAAAAAGAGGAGUGGCGAACGGGUGAGUAACACGUGGGUAACCUGCCCAUCAGAAGGGGAUAACACUUGGAAACAGGUGCUAAUACCGUAUAACAAUCAAAACCGCAUGGUUUUGAUUUGAAAGGCGCUUUCGGGUGUCGCUGAUGGAUGGACCCGCGGUGCAUUAGCUAGUUGGUGAGGUAACGGCUCACCAAGGCCACGUUGCAUAGCCGACCUGAGAGGGUGAUCGGCCACAUUGGGACUGAGACACGGCCCAAACUCCUACGGGAGGCAGCAGUAGGGAAUCUUCGGCAAUGGACGAAAGUCUGACCGAGCAACGCCGCGUGAGUGAAGAAGGUUUUCGGAUCGUAAAACUCUGUUGUUAGAGAAGAACAAGGAUGAGAGUAACUGUUCAUCCCUUGACGGUAUCUAACCAGAAAGCCACGGCUAACUACGUGCCAGCAGCCGCGGUAAUACGUAGGUGGCAAGCGUUGUCCGGAUUUAUUGGGCGUAAAGCGAGCGCAGGCGGUUUCUUAAGUCUGAUGUGAAAGCCCCCGGCUCAACCGGGGAGGGUCAUUGGAAACUGGGAGACUUGAGUGCAGAAGAGGAGAGUGGAAUUCCAUGUGUAGCGGUGAAAUGCGUAGAUAUAUGGAGGAACACCAGUGGCGAAGGCGGCUCUCUGGUCUGUAACUGACGCUGAGGCUCGAAAGCGUGGGGGAGCAACAGGAUU
rnacentral:rRNA from 1 species